AUCCUCCACCCACAUGCCAGCUUGCAUACAGCAGUUACCCGACUGGCCUCAUUCUUUUUGUACACAUAAUCAAAACCCUCCUGUAUGCUAUAAAGCUGCAACACUUUUCUAAACUGUACGAUAUUCUUAAAAGUCAUUCCAACUAAAAGUUUAAUAUUUCUCUUAGCAUCUGUGGGUUCAUUGAAUUCAAGAUAUUCUGAAUACCUCUCUUAGCAUUUGAAUACUAGCAUCUAAAUCACUGUCAUUGCUCAAGCUGCGG
rnacentral:lncRNA from 1 species